UGCAAAAUUAACAAGGGGCUAGGGUGAAAACCCUAUCCGCCUCUUCAACCACCCCUCUCCCCUCUGUCUCCACUAUCCCAAUGCCGAUUUUUAAGGUGGCGUAGGCAUGUGAGACGCGGUAAUGGCAGUGAAGAGGACGAAGCAUUUAUUGCUUCGUCUUUUUUCACAUUUUCUGCUUCGUCCUUUUUUCAUAUUUUCUUCUAUUAAAUCCUUUCAAGCAAUCCCAUAAGGUACAAUAUCUCCAUUUUAUAAUUUAUUUCGACCUUUUACAGUUGUAAAGAACAAUUUUUAGCCAUUGAUGGUUGUUUUCCUUUGAGCUGAACCCUCCACUAUUGAAUCUGGGCUUUAAACUUGUUGUCCCACAUCGGUGGUUGUAGGUUGAGUGUAAAUUUUUGUGGUUCUACCAUACUUGAGAAGAAAGAAGAUGGAGGAAUAGGAGAAGAAAAAGAAAGGAAUUUUUGGCAUUAGAAGCUUAAUAAAAAAUUGAGCAUUGAAAGGGUCAAAAAUUCUGAUUUUGAGUUUCUUUAAGUGAGAAUCUAUAGUUUUAAAAGUUUUAAUUUAUACUUUUUGUUUGUUGUGGCUGAGUUUGGAGGAGGAAGGAAAGCUUUCUAGUCCAUUCUUGAUCUGAGGCUGCACCUAAAAAAGAAUCUAUCCAUUACCUUCAAACACGAUUCCACUACAAUUUAUUGUGCCAAGAUUCAUGAGUGGCUGUGUAUUUGUGGUUUCCCAUUUUGAGUAGUGAAAAACAUCAAUUAAUGGCGGAUGAAAGCAUAUCUGGUAGGGUUACAAGAGCUUCUGCUGAGAAAUUGGUUGCUGAAAGGAGAUCUAAGAAAAUCCAUGAUCCUGCCAGAAUCACAAAUCCUUCAACUGUUAAUUUGAAAAAAAAAUGAUUUUGAUACUGCCACAAAGAGGAGAAAAGCAUCCGAUGUUGCUUAUAGUAGCAAAGCGAAGAAUGUUGUAGAGACAGAUACCGGAGAACAACAAUUAACUAUGAACAAGCAGGCCUCCAAAUUCCUGGUUAAACGUCCCCCCACUCAACCGAUACGUUAUGCUUCAUAUAUGAACCAUAACAUUAAAGAUGAGUUGAAGGACAAACUGACCGAUAGACAAUUCAAGCUAUUUUCCAAAACUAUUUUUGGACAAUAUAUGCAGAUGCAAGUUAACACCGAGGUGCAGGGGCAGUUAUUUAGGUGUUUUAUGGUUAGGAAGUUGAAGCGUAGUAAUAGCGAUGUGUUUGUUAUCGAUAUUAAUGGGACGGAAUUGACAUUCGGUCUUUUUGAAUUUGCUUUAAUUACUGGUUUGAAGUGUUACGGGGAUGAAGUUGUUUUUGACGAGGGUCCUAACAAAUUGUUGGAUGAAUAUUUCGGUGGUUCUGAUAAUAGUGUUUUAAAGAUGACUUUAAAUAAGUGCUUUGAAGACAAGGAUUGGGGUGUUGGUGAUAACGCAGAUGAAGAUGCUGUAAAGAUUGCGAUCCUGUAUUUCAUUCAUAAUUACAUACUUUCAAGUGAAAAGAGGAACGUCACAGUCCCAAGACAUCAUUUUGACUUGGUGGAGAGUGAACAGUACAAUGAAUAUACAUGGGGUAAGGAAGCAUUUGAUGAUUUGAUUAAGAGUAUUCACCACAAGAUGGACAAGCCGAAACAAUUUUAUUGUCUACGGGGUUUCCCUUUUGCUAUGCAAGUGUGGAUAUAUGAGUGCUGCUCUAAUGUUGACCCUAAUUUAAUGGUUAAAACCGGAAGCUGAAUCCCAAGAAUGUUUAAUUGGAGAAUAGUGAACCAAAAGCCAUCUGUUAACUACUUGAUGUUGGGCAUGUUUAAGGACGGUGAAGUAAAAUACUUACAUUAAAUAUAUGCCUAUCAACUAGUUUUUUACACGUGCAUUUUGUGUAUUUAACUGCUGUGUAUUUGUAAAAUACAGAGAGGACAUUUGUUGUAAAUUCAACAACAUUGUUCUGACCAUGUUAGAGGUUGAGAAGCUUGGUCUGCGUGCAUACCUGGUCAACAGACUUGCACCACCACCCCAAACACAC